rnacentral:rRNA from 1 species
UACGUAGGGGGCUAGCGUUGUCCGGAAUCAUUGGGCGUAAAGCGCGUGUAGGCGGUCCGGUAAGUCCGCUGUGAAAGUCGGGGGCUCAACCCUCGAAUGCCGGUGGAUACUGUCGGGCUAGAGUGCGGAAGAGGCGAGUGGAAUUCCUGGUGUAGCGGUGAAAUGCGCAGAUAUCAGGAGGAACACCCAUUGCGAAGGCAGCUCGCUGGGACGUAACUGACGCUGAGACGCGAAAGCGUGGGGAGCAAGCAGG